rnacentral:lncRNA from 12 species
AUAUGGAGUGAGCAAUAUGCUGGAGCAUGGCCUCAUCUCUGGGGACAGGAUUUAGGUUUGAAUCCUUACUGUUCUCCUCAAUUCUAUGUAACUGUGAAAAAUCUGCACCUGAGUUUAAUAUGUAAAUGUAUAAAAUUCAUAGUUCAUACAGUUAAUUCCAAGAUUAGUAAAGGUAUUAUUCAAGUUUACAGAAUUCAAGUUUGUUUCUGGAAAGUCCCUAAGAGAGGUCAAAGAUGGAAAAAACAAAAACCAACACGGUUUCAAAUUGAUUUCCCUCUAAAUCCAACCCACAUGCUCAGAUACUCCUUUUGGUCUCCCCAGCUCCCUUAACCUCACCACUUCAGCCCAAGGCAAGGAAAAUCACAGCUAAAUUAGAUUUUGCUUUCCUCCAGGCAAUCAUUAACGAUUGCUGGGAUUUGGCUCUAAAAACUUCUCUUUCCCAUUUCUGGUUUCAGGGCUUUUUCUUCUGCAAGGUGUUUUCCUCCUAGAAUUCAGGCUGACUGCAGAUGACCUGGGGAGACUGGAGUGCAUCCUUUCAUCUACUCAGCUAGGUUGAUUUAUGGAGCUUUUCCAGACAAGAUGACACCCAUUUCAUAGACUUUCAGCUCCUCAUCAAACAGUCUGCUUGACCUUAGCAUCCACAUGUUUUGCUUUGGGGUGGCAAAUUAAAUGCUCAGAGACUGAGUUCAUCUUAGCCAGUGAUUUAUUUAGUACAAGUUCACUGCAGGAAUUUCACAACCCAGGGCAUAUAGGGUAAUAUCUCUUCAAAAGCCAGUGAAGAAAUAACCUACUUCAAACAAAUGAUAAUCACGCAGUUGUUCCAGGCAAGGGGAGGUGAAAAAAAUAGAGCCCACAUUUAGUUGAGGUGUACUCUUAUACGAGUUGUACUUGAGUGAGAUGGCUUAGCCAACUGAUAGUUUAUGUCUGGCUGCCAGUCCAACAAUUGCUAGAGCACAUUGCUAAGGAAGGAGGACACCACUGUUGAUGGGCAAAAGAAGUGCUGCAUGGUUUUCUGCACCCCUGUUAAGAGAGUUGUGUUUACUGCAGCAAUAGCUAAUUGCCCCAAGGUCUUGGGAGAGCUAUUUAGAUCAGCAGUCACCUUGUCUGGACCAAAUACUCUUAGAUAGUCCUUACAAACACUCACCUUCUAUAAUCUACAUGUCAUUUUGCACCAGUGCAUCUUCAUGGGUUUCUAUUGGUAAGCCACAGCAGGGUCC